GACAGAGGUGCCGAGCGUUACUCGGAAUUACUGGGCGUAAAGCGUGCGCAGGCGGUUCGUUGUGUCGGUGGUGAAAGCCCCGGGCUUAACCUGGGAAUGGCCAUGGAAACUGGCGAACUGGAGUGUGGCAGAGGGGGGUGGAAUUCCGCGUGUAGCAGUGAAAUGCGUAGAGAUGCGGAGGAACACCGAUGGCGAAGGCAGCCCCCUGGGCUAGCACUGACGCUCAGGCACGAAAGCGUGGGGAGCAAACAGG
rnacentral:rRNA from 1 species